AGAGUUUGAUCCUGGCUCAGGAUGAACGCUGGCGGCGUGCCUAACACAUGCAAGUCGAACGCUCCCUGUAGCAAUACGGGGGGAGUGGCGGACGGGUGAGUAACACGUAGCUCAUCUACCCUGGGGCGGGGGAUAACGGCUGGAAACGGUCGCUAAUACCCCAUACGCUGGGAGACGGUAGGGGUCUCUCAGGAAAGCUACGGUGUCCUGGGAUGAGGCUGCGGCCCAUCAGCUAGUUGGCGAGGUAACGGCUCACCAAGGCGACGACGGGUAGGGGGCCUGGGAGGGUGGUCCCCCACACUGGAACUGAGACACGGUCCAGACUCCUACGGGAGGCAGCAGUGAGGAAUAUUGCGCAAUGGGCGAAAGCCAGACGCAGCAACGCCGCGUGGAGGAAGACGGCCUUCGGGUUGUAAACUCCUUUUCUGGGGGAAGAAGCUGACGGUACCCCAGGAAGAAGUCUCGGCUAACUACGUGCCAGCAGCCGCGGUAAAACGUAGGAGACGAGCGUUAUCCGGAUUUACUGGGCGUAAAGCGCGUGCAGGCGGUUGGGAAAGUCGUGCGUGAAAGCUCCUGGCUUAACUGGGAGAGGUCGUACGAAACUACCCGGCUAGAGGGCAGGCGAGGGGUGUGGAAUUCCGGGUGUAGUGGUGAAAUGCGUAGAUAUCCGGAGGAACACCAGUGGCGAAGGCGACACCCUGGACUGUACCUGACGCUCAGACGCGAAAGCAUGGGGAGCGAACGGGAUUUAGAAACCCCGGUAGUCCAUGCCGUAAACGAUGUGCACUGGGCGUGGAGGGCUGCAAAGCCCACCGUGCCGAAGCCAACGCGAUAAGUGCACCGCCUGGGGACUACGAGCGCAAGCUUAAAACUCAAAGGAAUUGACGGGGGCCCGCACAAGCAGCGGAGCGUGUGGUUUAAUUCGAGGCUACACGAAGAACCUUACCUGGGCUUGACAUGGCGGUGGUAGGGAACCGAAAGGCGACCGACCUUCGGGAGCCGUCACAGGUGCUGCAUGGCUGUCGUCAGCUCGUGCCGUGAGGUGUUCGGUUAAGUCCGGUAACGAGCGCAACCCUCGGGUCUAGUUACAGGUGUCUAGACCGACUGCCCGUGGCAAGCGGGAGGAAGGUGGGGAUGACGUCGAGUCCUCAUGGCCCUUAUAUCCAGGGCUACACACGUGCUACAAUGGACGGUACAAAGGGUCGCGAACCUGUAAGGGGGAGCUAACCCCAGAAAACCGCUCUCAGUUCGGAUUGGAGUCUGCAACCCGACUCCAUGAAGUUGGAAUCGCUAGUAAUCGCGGAUCAGAACGCCGCGGUGAAUACGUUCCCGGGCCUUGCACACACCGCCCGUCAAG
rnacentral:rRNA from 1 species